GAGUUCUUCCGUUGGUCAGGCUAACAAGUCUGUACUAGCGUGUAGAAUUCCUACCUUCUGGGGAACCAUCAUGUUAUUUAUUUAGCGUGGUGGGAAACCAGGACCUUUACCUUGAAAAAUUAGAGUGUUCAAAGCAGGCUUACGUCUGAAUACAUUAGCAUGGAAUAAUAAAAUAGGACGGUGGUCCUGUUUUGUUGGUUUCUGAAUCACCGUAAUGAUUAA
rnacentral:rRNA from 1 species